AGCCACAUCAUGUGAAAACACCAGUUCUUGUAUGAUUACCAAAGUUAAGCAAUGUUGAGCCUAGUCAGUACCUAGAUGGGUGACCUCUUGGGAAUACCAGGUGCUGUAAG